rnacentral:RNase_P_RNA from 2 species
UGAGUAAACCGGGUGAUCGCGGGCGCAGAAGCCGAAAGGCGGCGUCUGAGGAAAGUCCGGGCUCCGCAGGGCAGGGUGCUGGGCAACUCCCAGUGGGGGUGACCCCAAGGAUAGUGCCACAGAAAUGCGGACCGCCGUUUGAGAGGUGGGAUGUGGGAGGCUGGAAAACAGUUCUCACUUCCCACUUCUCAAACGGCAAGGGUGGAACGGUGCGGUAAGAGCGCACCAGCGGCCGCGGCGACGGGCCGGCUAGGUAAACCCCACCCGGAGCAAGACCGAAUAGGGGGACACGGGAGCGGCCCGCUCCGUCCCCGGGUAAGGUCGCUUAAGGCGCCGGGCAACCGGCGUCUCAGACAGAUGAUCAUCCAUGACAGAACCCGGCUUACAGGUUUGCUCACAGC